rnacentral:rRNA from 1 species
UACAGAGGUCUCGAGCGUUAGGCGGAAUCACUGGGCUUAAAGCGUGUGUAGGUGGUUGUCAUAGUCAGGUGUGAAAGCCUUGAGCUCAACUCAAGAAAUGCACUUGAUACUGGGCAGCUAGAGGACCGGAGAGGAUAGUGGAAUUCCCAGUGUAGUGGUGAAAUACGUAGAGAUUGGGAAGAACACCAGUGGCGAAGGCGGCUAUCUGGACGGUUUCUGACACUAAGGCACGAAAGCGUGGGGAGCAAACAGG